CCUACGGGUGGCUGCAGUGAGGAAUAUUGGUCAAUGGACGAGAGUCUGAACCAGCCAAGUAGCGUGAAGGAUGACUGCCCUAUGGGUUGUAAACUUCUUUUAUAAAGGAAUAAAACGAGGCACGUGUGCCUUUUUGCAUGUACUUUAUGAAUAAGGAUCGGCUAACUCCGUGCCCGCAGCCGCGGUAAUACGGUGGAUACGAGCGUUAUCCGGAUUUAUUGGGUUUAAAGGGAGCGUAGAUGGGUUGUUAAGUCAGUUGUUAAAGUUUGCGGCUCAAACGUAAAAUUGCAAUUGAUAAUGGCAGUCGUGAGUACAGUUGAGGUAGGCGGAAUGCGUGGUGUAGAGGUGAAAGGCUUAGAUAUCACGAAGAACCCCGAUUGCGAAGGCAGCUUACUAAACUGUGACUGACAUUGAUGCUCGAAAGUGUGGGUAUCAAACAGGAUUAGAUACCCCAGUAGUC
rnacentral:rRNA from 1 species